rnacentral:rRNA from 1 species
AUUGAACGCUGGCGGCAUGCCUUACACAUGCAAGUCGAACGGCAGCACGGGAGCAAUCCUGGUGGCGAGUGGCGAACGGGUGAGUAAUAUAUCGGAACGUGCCCAGUCGUGGGGGAUAACGUAGCGAAAGCUACGCUAAUACCGCAUACGAUCUAUGGAUGAAAGCGGGGGAUCGCAAGACCUCGCGCGAUUGGAGCGGCCGAUAUCAGAUUAGGUAGUUGGUGAGGUAAAGGCUCACCAAGCCGACGAUCUGUAGCUGGUCUGAGAGGACGACCAGCCACACUGGGACUGAGACACGGCCCAGACUCCUACGGGAGGCAGCAGUGGGGGAAUUUUUGGGACAAUGGGCGCAAGCCUGAUCCAGCAAUGCCGCGUGCAGGAUGAAGG